AUCCAGGGUUACAUUGAACGACAACUUUAAACUAAAAAACCAACAUUUUUCACACAACUCCAGGUUGUUACUAACAAAUUACUACUACAAGUGUCAUCAAGGGAUAACUACAAGUAGAAGCACCAUUUUUGGAUGGAAAAAACCCUUCAGGAAAGUAUACGUAUCACAUGUAACAUGUAGUGUAACAAAGUAUGAACAGUAAGGUUUUUACAUACAGUAGUACAUAUUACAUACGUACAUAACUUUUUUUUACAGGAAUUUCCAACCAAGUUUGAUUAUGUACAUACAUGUUAUAAACCACUGUACGUAUGGUUACUGUAUGUAACUUACUAAACAUACAUACAUGACUUAACUUUGAUACUUUUUUGGUACAUUCCAGAAAACCAGGACCCCCUCCAUGAUGCAGGCUAUGGGGCCACAUAAAACUUUGUCCAGGGUUACUACAUAACAUAAAGAACCCCCUGAAUGAUGUAGGCUAUGGGGCCACAUAAGACUUUGUGCAUCCAGGGU